AAAUAAAAGAUAUAUAAUUUGAUUAGGUUUAUUCACCAGUCAAGGGUCGUCAGGGAGUCCGGCUUUAUCGCAGAGACAAUAACCUGGAUGGACAAUCUGGUCAUAUAGGCCUUCUUUUUAACAGCUUCCGUGUCACCAACAGCAACCCCGAUCUUGAUAAGAAAGAAAACAUAUGAACUCGCUUUGGUGAAAUGAAAUUGACAAAUGUAUAUUGUUAUAUAUAAUGCAAUUAAAUUGACAAAUGUAUAUUGUUAUAUACAAUGCAAUUAAACGGACAAAUUAUAUUGUUAUACAUGAUGCGAUUAAAGUCAGUAACAAAA